GUCUGUUAUCGGUUGAAGAUUUGAAACACAGAACAAAAAGUCUUCUCGUUGGAUUGUGACAGUUUGGGGAUUUAAUUGGCAAACAAUUAAUUAAGGGACCGGUGGACAUUUUUUUGGGUGGGCAAAUGGGACGCAACUGAAAUGCCGACGGCAGAUAAAGAGUCUUUCUGCUGCACACUGAAGGGAAGGAAGACUGCAUCCACAGCACGGAAAGAGAGAGAGCAAAAUCGAUCACCCGCCUGCUUUUCGGGGUAGCAGAGGAGGCCCCCGGAGAUGUCAAGUCUGCUGAAGUGGUGGAGGAAGGCUGGCUUGUUGUGAGUCAUCAAGAGGCCGGUUUAGAUGAGAACAACCAGGGUGCAGAGCAGACUGAGUCCCAGGCAUCGAGUUCUGCUCUUCAAGGAGACACGCUAGCAAACGUGGAAAGUGACAUCAGUGUUUUUGAUCCAGAGCCCACCGUUCAAAGCAGCAGCAGCAGCGGUGGAGCCAUCCCAAGCUCUGUUUCUCAGCCUCGAGCCGUGUUAGAAGUGACACAGUUGUCCUGCGUCCAGAAGGCCAAGGCCUGGGCCGACCCGCACCACAUGUCUCGUAAUGCCAUUCAGCGCCAGAACCGCGUUCGCCAAGGAGUCCAGCACCAAUACUACCACCUCCAACAGCCGGGACAUCGUAACCUCAGCCACUGAGUCUCUGGCUGUAGAACGGCAAAUGUCAAGCAUGAAAAAAUAAUCCUUGAUGCAUUGUCCUUCAUUCUUC